GUGGUUAUAGCUCAGUGGUAGAGUGCUUGCCUGGUAUGUAUGUGGCACUCUGUUCAAUCCUCUGUUCAAUCCACA
rnacentral:tRNA from 1 species